ACAGUGGACGCGAGCAUCUUUGUUGUAAGUGUUUAAGAGCGUACGGUGGAUGCCUUGGCACCAGGAGCCGAUGAAGGACGUAGGAGGCUGCGAUAAGCCUCGGGGAGCUGUCAACCGAGCUGAGAUCCGAGGAUGUCCGAAUGGGAAACCCAGCCACAGUGAUGUGUGGUUACCCGCGCCUGAAUAUAUAGGGCGUGUGGAGGGAACGUGGGGAAGUGAAACAUCUCAGUACCCACAGGAAGAGAAAACAACAUGUGAUUCCGUGAGUAGUGGCGAGCGAAAGCGGAAGAGGCUAAACCAUGGGUGUGUGAUAGCCGGCGGGCGUUGCAUUCGUGGGGUUGUGGGAUCCGUCUUGUCAAUUCUGCCGGAUUGGCCGACAGUGAGAAAUCAUCGUGUUAGUCGAAGUGGUCUGGAACGGCCUGUCGUAGAGGGUGAGAGUCCCGUAGACGAAAACAUGGUGACUGUCGUGACGGACACCCGAGUAGCAGCGGGCCCGUGAAAUCUGCUGUGAAUCUGUCGGGACCACCCGAUAAGCCUGAAUACUCCCUGGUGACCGAUAGCGGACUAGUACCGUGAGGGAAAGGUGAAAAGUACCCCGGGAGGGGAGUGAAAUAGUACCUGAAACCGUGCGCUUACAAUCCGUCAGAGCCUGCGCCACUUUUGGUGGGUGGGUGAUGGCGUGCCUUUUGAAGAAUGAGCCUGCGAGUUAGCGGCAUGUCGCGAGGUUAACCCGUGUGGGGUAGCCGUAGCGAAAGCGAGUCCGAAUAGGGCGUUUGUAGUGGCAUGUUCUAGACCCGAAGCGGAGUGAUCUACCCAUGGCCAGGGGGUGAAGCGACGGUAAGACGUCGUGGAGGCCCGAACCCACUUAGGUUGAAAACUGAGGGGAUGAGCUGUGGGUAGGGGUGAAAGGCCAAUCAAACUCCGUGAUAGCUGGUUCUCCCCGAAAUGCAUUUAGGUGCAGCGUCGCGUGUUUCACUCUGGAGGUAGAGCUACUGGAUGGCCGAUGGGCCCCACAAGGUUACUGACGUCAGCCAAACUCCGAAUGCCAGAGUGUGAGAGCGCGGCAGUGAGACUGCGGGGGAUAAGCUUCGUAGUCGAGAGGGAACAGCCCAGAUCGCCGGCUAAGGCCCCUAAGCGUGUACUAAGUGGAAAAGGAUGUGGGGUCGCGAAGACAACCAGGAGGUUGGCUUAGAAGCAGCCACCCUUGAAAGAGUGCGUAAUAGCUCACUGGUCAAGUGAUCCUGCGCCGACAAUGUAGCGGGGCUCAAGUACACCGCCGAAGCCGCGGCAUUCACAUAACACCCAUGCGGGUCUACGGGCCUGUGUGCAGUGGUGUGGAUGGGUAGGGGAGCGUCGUGCAGCCAUGGAAGCGCCGGAGUGAUCCAGGUGUGGAGGCUGCACGAGUGAGAAUGCAGGCAUGAGUAGCGAAAGACGAGUGAGAAACUCGUCCGCCGAAUGACCAAGGGUUCCGGGCCAGGUUAAUCCGCCCAGGGUGAGUCGGGACCUAAGGCGAGGCCGACAGGCGUAGUCGAUGGACAACGGGUUGAUAUUCCCGUACCCGUGUGAACGCGCCCCUGGUGAAUCAGUGAUGCUAAGCGCCCUGAAGCCGCCUUCGAACCUUCGGGUUCUCCGGUGGUGGAUGCGCGUGAACCGAUCUGGUAGUAGCCAAGCGAUGGGGUGACGCAGGAAGGUAGCUGAGCCAGUCAGUGGUAAUACUGGUGUAAGCGUGUAGGG
rnacentral:rRNA from 1 species